GAUGAACGCUGGCGGCGUGCUUAACACAUGCAAGUCGAACGGGAAUUACUUUAUUGAAACUUCGGUCGAUUUAAAUUAAUUCUAGUGGCGGACGGGUGAGUAACGCGUGGGUAACCUGCCUUGUACAGGGGGAUAACAGUCAGAAAUGACUGCUAAUACCGCAUAAGCGCACAGGACCGCAUGGUCCAGUGUGAAAAACUCCGGUGGUAUAAGAUGGACCCGCGUUGGAUUAGCUUGUUGGCAGGGUAACGGCCUACCAAGGCAACGAUCCAUAGCCGGCCUGAGAGGGUGAACGGCCACAUUGGGACUGAGACACGGCCCAGACUCCUACGGGAGGCAGCAGUGGGGAAUAUUGCACAAUGGGGGAAACCCUGAUGCAGCGACGCCGCGUGAAGGAAGAAGUAUCUCGGUAUGUAAACUUCUAUCAGCAGGGAAGAAAAUGACGGUACCUGACUAAGAAGCCCCGGCUAAC
rnacentral:rRNA from 1 species